rnacentral:piRNA from 2 species
CUUAGAUGAGUGGAAAGGUGCUG